GAACGAGAAAGGGGAGCAAUCCCUGAGUACAGUGGCGUACGGGUGAGUAACACGUGGGUAAUCUGCCCUUUGGUGGGGAAUAACCCUGGGAAACCGGGGCUAAUACCGCAUAAGUCCGAGAGGAGAAAGCAGCAAUGCGCCGAAGGAGGAGCCCGCGGCCGAUUAGCUAGUUGGUAGGGUAAAAGCCUACCAAGGCAAAGAUCGGUAGCCGGCCUGAGAGGGCACACGGCCACACUGGCACUGAAACACGGGCCAGACUCCUACGGGAGGCAGCAGUGGGGAAUCUUGCACAAUGGGGGAAACCCUGAUGCAGCGACGCCGCGUGAGCGAUGAAGCCCUUCGGGGUGUAAAGCUCUUUCGGCAGGGAAGAUGAUGACGGUACCUGCAGAAGCAGCUGCGGCUAACUACGUGCCAGCAGCCGCGGUAAUACGUAGGCAGCAAGCGUUGUUCGGAGUUACUGGGCGUAAAGGGUGUGUAGGCGGUUUGGUAAGUCUGGUGUGAAAUCUCCCGGCUCAACUGGGAGGGUGCGCCGGAAACUGCCGGACUCGAGUGCGGGAGAGGAGAGUGGAAUUCCUGGUGUAGCGGUGAAAUGCGUAGAUAUCAGGAGGAACACCGGUGGGUGUAGACGGCUCUCUGGACCGUAACUGACGCUGAAACACGAAAGCGUGGGUAGCAAACAGGAUUAGAUACCCCGGUAGUCCACGCCCUAACGAUGCAUAUUUUGGUGUGGGUCAUUCAGUUGAUCCGUGCCGGAGCUAACGCGUUAAAUAUGCCGCCUGGGGGAGUACAGUCGCAAGGCU
rnacentral:rRNA from 1 species